GGGCAAGUCGCCGGCGGGUUUCGCUCCCUCCUGCCUGGAUAUCUCCUCCUGACACCACAUCUUCAGCUUCUGGCUCACGGCGGCAAUGCCUUCCAGGGUCUUCACCUUGGCCAGCUCCUCUCGCAGCUGCUGAUGCACCUGCAGUGUGUGGUGCCACAGCUUGAAGAGGUGGACCCGGAUGUAGGACAGUGGGCAGGGGUGCUCCCGCACGAUGUCCGGGUAUCCCUCGGCCUGCUCCCACACGGCAGGGCUCCAGCCCUUAAAGAGGGCAGAGUUGUGCAGGUUGCCUUCUGCGCUCAUGACACCCUGUACACCCGUGUCCUGGAUGCAGCCCUCCACAUCCUGUAGGCUCUGGAUGUUCCCAUUGGCAAACACAGGAAUGGCCACAGCUUUCCACACAGCCUUAAUGUGUUCCCAGGAGGCUGCACCUGACAGGGUCCCCUUCUGCUCCUUGGUGCGCCCAUGAAUGAUCAACAAAUGGCAGCCGGCCUUCUCCAGCAUCUGGGCAUAGCUCACGGUCUUGUCAAUCUCUGGGAAGACACGGAUUUUGCACGUGACGGGAACAGAGACUUUCUCGUGGGCCAGCAAAAUUAUUCUUUAGAGCAGGUUCCAUUCGUCCUGCAGGAAGGCGCCAUAGUGACCUCUCUUGGCUAUCAUCUGUGGGCAACUGAGGUUCAGGUCGAUGGCGUCACAGUAAACCUGAGCCAGGAGAGCCACCUGAACUAACACCUCCGGGUCAUUGGUACAGAACUGCACGAUGAGGGCCUGGUCCUCGGGGCACACCUCACAGUACAGGUUCUCCUUCUGGUAAUUGGCGUCGCAGACGAAGACUUGGGCAUGCAGCAUGGACGUGUAGCAGAGCUGUGCCCCGUGGCGCCGGCUCAGCAGCCUCCAGGCCAGCUCGCUCUGGUCCACCAUGGGGGCCACCACGUGGCGGGACCCGAAGGGUGUGACUCCAGAACUCGAAGCCCUGCAGCUUUGGCAUCCUCUCCAGGCUGUAAAGAAGACAUAGCCCUGGCAUAUGCUUCUGGGGAGGCCUCUGGAAGUCUACAAUCAUGGCAGAAGAUGAAGCAGAAUCUUGCACAUCACAGGACAAAAAGCAGGAGCAAAAAACAAAGGAGUAAGUUGUUACACACUUUUAAAUAA
rnacentral:lncRNA from 1 species